GUUCAGGGAGAGAACUGAUCGC
rnacentral:siRNA from 1 species